UACAGAGGUCCCAAGCGUUGUUCGGAUUCAUUGGGCGUAAAGGGUGCGUAGGCGGCGCGGUAAGUCGGGUGUGAAAUCUCGGAGCUUAACUCCGAAACUGCAUUCGAUACUGCCGUGCUUGAGGACUGGAGAGGAGACUGGAAUUUACGGUGUAGCGGUGAAAUGCGUAGAUAUCGUAAGGAAGACCAGUGGCGAAGGCGGAUCUCUGGACAGUUCCUGACGCUGAGGCACGAAGGUCAGGGGAGCAAACGGG
rnacentral:rRNA from 1 species